rnacentral:rRNA from 1 species
AGAGAGAGACAUGCGCGCAUAUCAAUAAGCGGAGGAAAAGAAACUAACAAGGAUUCCCCUAGUAACGGCGAGUGAAGCGGGAAGAGCUCAAAUUUGAAAUCUUAAAGGGUUUCCCUUUACGAAUUGUAGUUUAAAGAAGUGUUUUUCUGUUGAGGUUUUGGUAAAAGUUCUUUGGAAUAGGACAUCAUAGAGGGUGAGAAUCCCGUAUUUGACCUUUACUUUCAACUUUGUGAUACACUUUCAAAGAGUCGGAUUGUUUGGGAAUGCAGUCCAAAAUGGGUGGUAAAGUUUCAUCUAAAGCUAAAUAUUGGCGAGAGACCGAUAGCGAACAAGUACCGUGAGGGAAAGAUGAAAAGAACUUUGAAAAGAGAGUUAAACAGUACGUGAAAUUGUCAAAAGGGAAGCGUUUGACACCAGUGUUGUUUUUCUGAAAAUCAAUUAAAGAACUGUUUAUGCUAAGUUGUUUAGACUUUAUCAGCUAACUGUUUAGUUUUGAGCUUUUCUUUAAUGCACUUUUCAGUUAACAAGUCAACAUCAAUUUCUUUUGCUGUAAAAAAGCUUGAGGAAGGUGGCUUGAGAUUCGUCUUAAGUGUUUAUAGCCUCUUGCCUAUGCAGUCGGAGAGAUUGAGGUCUGCAGCGUAGAUCCUUCGGGGCUAAAUGCAUUUGUGCUAAGUUAUAGCAUUUUAUAGACAACUUGUUGACUAUGAUUUGUCUUGUAGCUUACUCGCUUAUGUUAUUUUACCUACGCUUAGGAUGUUGAGCGCAUGUCUCUCUCU